UACGGAGGAUCCAAGCGUUAUCCGGAAUCAUUGGGUUUAAAGGGUCCGUAGGCGGUCUUAUAAGUCAGUGGUGAAAUCUCUCCGCUCAACGGGGAAACGGCCAUUGAUACUGUAAGACUUGAAUUAUUGGGAAGUAACUAGAAUAUGUAGUGUAGCGGUGAAAUGCUUAGAUAUUACAUGGAAUACCGAUUGCGAAGGCAGGUUACUCCAAUGGAUUGACGCUGAUGGACGAAAGCGUGGGGAGCGAACAGG
rnacentral:rRNA from 1 species